GACGAACGCUGGCGGCGUGCCUAAUACAUGCAAGUAGAACGCUGAAGGAGGAGCUUGCUUCUCUGGAUGAGUUGCGAACGGGUGAGUAACGCGUAGGUAACCUGCCUGGUAGUGGGGGAUAAGUAUUGGAAACGAUAGCUAAUACCGCAUAAGAGUAGAUGUUGCAUGACAUUUGCUUAAAAGGUGCAAUUGCAUCACUACCAGAUGGCGCUGCGUUGUAUUAGCUAGUUGGUGGGGUAACGGCUCACCAAGGCGAAGAUACAUAGCCGGCCUGAGAGGGUUAUCGACCCCACUGGGACUGGGACCCCGGCCAGACUCCUACGGGGGGCAGCAAGAGGGAAUCUUCGGCCAUGGACGGAAGUCUGACCGAGCAACGACGCGGGAGGGAAAGAGGGUUUCGGAGCUGAAAGCUCUGUUGUUAGAGAAGAACAAGUGUGAGAUUAAAAAGUUCACGCUGUGACGGUACCUUAACAGAAAGGAACGGCUAACUACGUG
rnacentral:rRNA from 1 species